GGAGGGUAUAGCUCAGUGGUAGAGCGUGUGCUUAGCAUGCACAAAGUCCUGGGUUCAAUCCCCAGUGCCUCCA
rnacentral:tRNA from 1 species